rnacentral:rRNA from 1 species
GAUGAACGCUGGCGGCGUGCCUAAUACAUGCAAGUCGAGCGAACAGACGAGGAGCUUGCUCCUCUGACGUUAGCGGCGGACGGGUGAGUAACACGUGGAUAACCUACCUAUAAGACUGGGAUAACUUCGGGAAACCGGAGCUAAUACCGGAUAAUAUAUUGAACCGCAUGGUUCAAUAGUGAAAGACGGUUUUGCUGUCACUUAUAGAUGGAUCCGCGCCGCAUUAGCUAGUUGGUAAGGUAACGGCUUACCAAGGCGACGAUGCGUAGCCGACCUGAGAGGGUGAUCGGCCACACUGGAACUGAGACACGGUCCAGACUCCUACGGGAGGCAGCAGUAGGGAAUCUUCCGCAAUGGGCGAAAGCCUGACGGAGCAACGCCGCGUGAGUGUUGAAGGUCUUCGGAUCGUAAAACUCUGUUAUUAGGGAAGUACAAAUGUGUAAGUAACUAUGCACGUCUUGACGGUACCUAAUCAGAAAGCCACGGCUAACUACGUG